AGGCUUAACUCAUGCAAGUCGAGCGCCCCGCAAGGGGGAGCGGCAGACCGGGUGAGUAACGCGUGGGAAUGUACCCAACCCUACGGAAUAACGCAUGGAAACGUGUGCUAAUACCGUAUACGCCCUUUGGGGGAAAGAUUUAUCGGGGAUGGAUGAGCCCGCGUUGGAUUAGCUAGUUGGUGGGGUAAAGGCCUACCAAGGCGACGAUCCAUAGCUGGUCUGAGAGGAUGAUCAGCCACAUUGGGACUGAGACACGGCCCAAACUCCUACGGGAGGCAGCAGUGGGGAAUAUUGGACAAUGGGCGCAAGCCUGAUCCAGCCAUGCCGCGUGAGUGAUGAAGGCCCUAGGGUUGUAAAGCUCUUUCACCGGAGAAGAUAAUGACGGUAUCCGGAGAAGAAGCCCCGGCUAACUUCGUGCCAGCAGCCGCGGUAAUACGAAGGGGGCUAGCGUUGUUCGGAAUUACUGGGCCGUAAAGCGCACGUAGGCGGACAUUUAAGUCAGGGGUGAAAUCCCGGGGCUCAACCUCGGAACUGCCUUUGAUACUGGGUGUCUUGAGUGUGGAAAAAGUCAAGUGGAAUUGCGAGUGUAGAAGNGAAAUUCG
rnacentral:rRNA from 1 species